rnacentral:rRNA from 1 species
AUGCACUGUGUUGGCUUGUUGGGUGGGGCUCUCCAUCUGCCUGCACCUCUCAAGAGACUGGACAUUAUUGGCAACAGUGGGUUGACAUCGCUGGAGUGUCUAUCAGGAGAGCACCCCCCUUCGCUGGAAGUCCUUCAUCUUGAAAACUGCAGUACCCUGGCAUUCCUGCCGAAUGAGCCCCAAGUAUACACUUCUCUCUUCUUUCUUCGUAUUACAGGCUGCCCUGCUAUAAAGAAGCUCCCUAGAUGCCUGCAGCAGCAGCAACUGGGCAGCCUCAGAUACAAACGACUAGAUGCCCGUUAUGAAGUGAUGGCACUUAAACCGAAGACAUGGAAGGAGAUACCAAGGCUAGUCCGUGAGCGGAGGGAGGCUGCUCGGGAAGCCAGGGAACUCGAUCAAGCCAUGCAGGAGUAA